GACGAACGCUGGCGGCGUGCUUAACACAUGCAAGUCGAACGGAAAGGCCCUGCUUUUGUGGGGUGCUCGAGUGGCGAACGGGUGAGUAACACGUGAGUAACCUGCCCUUGACUUUGGGAUAACUUCAGGAAACUGGGGCUAAUACCGGAUAGGAGCUCCUGCUGCAUGGUGGGGGUUGGAAAGUUUCGGCGGUUGGGGAUGGACUCGCGGCUUAUCAGCUUGUUGGUGGGGUAGUGGCUUACCAAGGCUUUGACGGGUAGCCGGCCUGAGAGGGGGACCGGCCACAUUGGGACUGAGAUACGGCCCAGACUCCUACGGGAGGCAGCAGUGGAGAAUAUUGCACAAUGGGCGGAAGCCUGAUGCAGCAACGCCGCGUGCGGGAUGACGGCCUUCGGGUUGUAAACCGCUUUCGCCUGUGACGAAGCGUGAGUGACGGUAAUGGGUAAAGAAGCACCGGCUAACUACGUG
rnacentral:rRNA from 1 species